UUCUAUGGGCAUACCACCCUGAACGCACCCAAUCUUGUCUGAUCUCAGAAGCUAAGCAGGAUCGGCCCUGGUGAGUACUUGGAUGGGAGACCACCUGGGAAUACAGGGUGCUGUAGGCU
ensembl:rRNA 5S_rRNA 5S ribosomal RNA